AUUAGAGAGUAGGGUCUUGAUCUUCAGGUCGUGGGCAAGCAUUCUGGAAAAUUUGGAUGUCAACGAAGCAGUGGAGAAUGAGCAAUCAAGCUCGCCGAAAAAUCGCAAACUCGCCGGAGCCGCGACUUCAAACGACGAAUCGAGGGGUCCUUGUGAGCAAGGAGAUUAAGGGAUAGCCGCUUGGCACGUAGUUCGAGACAAAUUAGCUCCGGGACUUGCAGAGAUGAUUCAAAGAGUGGUGAUGUGUAGUGACACGAGACAUCAAGAUGCGAGUAAAUGUAC